rnacentral:rRNA from 1 species
GACGAACGCUGGCGGCGUGCUUAACACAUGCAAGUCGAACGGAAAGGCCCCAGCUUGCUGGGGUACUCGAGUGGCGAACGGGUGAGUAACACGUGGGUGAUCUGCCCUGCACUCUGGGAUAAGCCUGGGAAACUGGGUCUAAUACCGGAUAGGACCGUGCUUUAGUGUGUGCGGUGGAAAGUUUUUCGGUGCAGGAUGAGCCCGCGGCCUAUCAGCUUGUUGGUGGGGUAAUGGCCUACCAAGGCGGCGACGGGUAGCCGGCCUGAGAGGGUGUACGGCCACAUUGGGACUGAGACACGGCCCAGACUCCUACGGGAGGCAGCAGUGGGGAAUAUUGCACAAUGGGCGCAAGCCUGAUGCAGCGACGCCGCGUGGGGGAUGACGGCCUUCGGGUUGUAAACCACUUUCGGCAGGGACGAAGCUUUUGUGACGGUACCUGCAGAAGAAGCACCGGCUAACUACGUG